rnacentral:Y_RNA from 1 species
GGCUGGUCCAAUGGUAGUGAGUUAUCAGAACUUAUUAACAUUAGUGUCACUAAAAUUGGUAUACAACUCCCAACUGCUAAAUUUGGCUUAAA